GUGUCCCUCUCUCCUCUCGCCGGUGGUUUGAGAUCCGCCUGGUCCCUGAAGCACUCCAUCCAAAUCUCCACCUCCCACCUCCGAGUGCGUGGAAAUCUUCCACGAUUUGCAUCCCCCAUCAUGAACUGGUUGUCGUCCGAGCUGCCUCUCCUGCAGCUGGGUGCGGCUUCUCCACGGACGCCCACUAGUUUCCCCUCAUGCAACCAGACCUACAUGGUCAACAAAGACCAACCACUGAUUCUCCCUCCAUCGAGCAUAUCUUUGCCACCGACGCCGCCGUCCUACUUUUACUCCACUCCCGAACUGAGGUUUCUAUAUUCAGGGAGCAAGAGAGAUGAGGCGCCGAUCCCGGAGGAGGUGUCCAAAUACUCAUGUGUGUGCUAUGGUUGUGCUCAGUUUGUUGUUGAGUAUAUGUUGGUCCUAAUAUCCCCUUGGUUGCAAUGCUUCUCCUAACUAUGGAUACUGUUUAGUGCUCCUAUUUAUACAUGACUUAUGAUGAUGCUAUGGUAGGGUUUCUGUAAGCUAUUAUUUAUGAUUUAGGCGAUGUACUGUGUACACACUUGCUACUUGUUAUUGGCAUGGUCUCUAUUGUUAGCAGCAAAUGCUUAACUAUAAUUUCUAGAAUUGGUCAUGAGCUAAAAUUACUAUGAUCGAUUUUACUUGUGAUGUGCAACUACUUAAUUGGAUUGUUGUGUGUUUCCGCAUUAUGCAGAUUUACAUGUUAUCAUAUGUAUGUUGCCUGAUUGAUCGCUCAUGAUCAAAUUCUUAUAGGCGUUGGGUGGCGGCGUCCUUCCAUCACCACCUACCCCUUGGCAACUCAUUUUAUUUCUGUACCAAGUACAUCUACUUCAACUACUCCAGCCUCUAUGUGUAGGUAUUUAUGCCAUUGACCACAAACCCUAGAUUCAACUUGCUUUUUAUAAUAUGUUGUGACUUUGCACUAUGCUCUCAUUCAUCUAUGUCGAAUAGAGAUUUCAAAUGUGUCGUCAUGCUAGAGUCUGAGUCUAGUGGGGCCAGCAAUAGUGGGGAGCUGCAAAUUACCUUUCUUGAUCUGAAUUGUGAACAUAUGAUGAUUUUUUUGUUGCAAAUAAAUGGAAGGUGAUGCUUUUGCCUGUUUCUUGCUAUUCCUUAUCCUAUACGCCUAUCUUAGUUACCGUCAUUUUUCAGAACACGGCACUACUUAAACUAACCGCACGUGGCUUCAUUUUGCUCAGAAUAUUCUUACUGAGUAUAGCGAUAUUUAUUGCACCAGUAUGUGAAUCGAACCGUAUUGAAUAAUAUUUAACCACAUCAAAUGACAUUUCUUUAUUUGACAAUAGGCAUGUAAACCACAACCUUCUGUUCUGUAUGUUCUUCUCAUAUGUGAUCCUUUUAAUGUCCGGAAGUUCAUCAUUCCAGAAUCGGCUACUCAGAAGAAGUGGAAAGUGGAAGACGGACGAUGCUAUGGUUUCUCAAUUUGCUGUUACACGUGAACAAUUUAAUUUUAUGUUCUUUAAUGUGUUACAUUGAAGGCUGGACUUGUUGGAAAGUGGUUGUAUUGAUCGUACAGUACCAAAAGUUGUUGGAUUUGUAGUGGAGUUGAAGGCUGAACUAUUUUA